GACGAACGCUGGCGGCGUGCCUAAUACAUGCAAGUCGUGCGGACCUUGUUGAAAGCUUGCUUUUAAAAGGUUAGCGGCGGACGGGUGAGUAACACGUGGGCAACCUGCCUGUAAGACUGGGAUAACGCCGGGAAACCGGGGCUAAUACCAGAUCGUUUUUUCCUCCGCAUGGAGGAAAAAGGAAAGGCGGCUUCGGCUGCCACUUACAGAUGGGCCCGCGGCGCAUUAGCUAGUUGGCGGGGUAAUGGCCCACCAAGGCAACGAUGCGUAGCCGACCUGAGAGGGUGAUCGGCCACAUUGGGACUGAGACACGGCCCAAACUCCUACGGGAGGCGGCAGUAGGGAAUCUUCCGCAAUGGACGAAAGUCUGACGGAGCAACGCCGCGUGAGUGAAGAAGGCCUUCGGGUCGUAAAACUCUGUUGCCGGGGAAGAACAAGUGCCGUUCGAACAGGGCGGCGCCUUGACGGUACCCGGCCAGAAAGCCACGGCUAACUACGUG
rnacentral:rRNA from 1 species